rnacentral:lncRNA from 1 species
GUCUUGGCUACUAUAAAACUUUCCAAGCUACCAACUUUCUGUUUAUGUACUUAGGCAUUUAUUGCAGUAACCUCUUGUUCCAUGUGGAAUUCAUUAAGCUUCCUCUAAAACUCCUAAAUGCAAGACUUCAACUCCAGUUUUUCGACUCUGGUUUUAGUUAGUGCGAAAAUACACACAUUGUUAAAGAUUUAUUGCCAAUGUGGUAAAGCAAGAACAAAAAAUUAAUACC